rnacentral:rRNA from 1 species
UACAUAGGGUGCGAGCGUUAAUCGGAAUUACUGGGCGUAAAGCGUGCGUAGGCGGUCCGCGAAGUCUGAUGUGAAAGCCCCGGGCUCAACCUGGGAACUGCAUUGGAAACUAACGGGCUCGAGUGUGGCAGAGGGGGGUGGAAUUCCACGUGUAGCAGUGAAAUGCGUAGAGAUGGGGGAGAACACUCGUGGCGAAGGCGGCCAGCUAGACCAGUUCUGACACUGAGGCGCGACAGCGUGGGGAGCAAACAGG